ACACAAAGCUCUGGAUUCCCCAUGGCAUAGAAAUCUAUUAAAGAGGAUUAUGUGAGGCAGGGGUGUCAAGGACAUCACAAGGGAACCCAUAGAAACAACUAACUUGAGCUCAUAGGAGCUCACAGAGUCUGGACCAACAACCAGGGAGCCUGCAUGGGACCGACCUAGGACCUCUACAUUCCAUGACUUCCAGCCAAUGGAAUAGUACCACUCACUUUUAUGAAAAUUUUGGCUUCGUGAAGCUGUUUAGAUGGAAAAAUGUAGCAACUGUAAUGGCAGCUUGAAACGUUCCGUUCCUAGAGAUACCUGGGAUCUUCACAGAAAUAUUUAGGGAAGAACAAAGAGUAAGGAGAAAAUAUGUAACAACUUUGGUCCCUCCAUCCCUAUUGAAAUGGGCUACUCACUCAUUGGUAAUAAAAAAGGCAAUUUAUGGAGAUUCACAACUUCCCUUUUUUAAGAGCAGAAGACCAAAUCAAGGCGGGAUCAGGGGCCAUUGCAGAAGCAGGGCUGAAAGACUGGAAGAGUCAGAGCACAGCUUAAACUAGAUCUACCUUCCCAAGGUGUGGUCGCUCGGCCACAUGAUUGACUGGCCCAACUGCAUUAACUCUAAUGGGAGGAGACAAUGACAUGUCUCCACCAUGAGGACCAGCAGCCAGGUUGCUUGGUUUCUUCAGUAUACAACAGCAAAUGAAAACAAAGUCUUCCCAAUGGUA